UCUGGUGCCAAUGGCAAAGAGGUCACACCUGUUCCCAUGCCGAACACAGAAGUUAAGCUCUUUAGCGCCGAUGGUAG
rnacentral:rRNA from 1 species